GUCGCCGCCGCCGCCGCCUCCGCUGUCCCGGGGCCGCCGGAGCGGCCGCACCGGGCGAUGCGAUGACAACGUCCACCCUGCAGAAAGCCAUCGACCUGGUCACCAAAGCCACUGAGGAGGACAAGGCCAAGAACUACGAGGAGGCACUGCGGCUGUACCAGCACGCCGUGGAGUACUUCCUGCACGCCAUCAAAUAUGAGGCUCACAGUGACAAGGCCAAGGAGAGCAUCAGGGCCAAGUGCAUGCAGUACCUGGACCGGGCGGAGAAGCUGAAGGAGUACCUGCGGAGCAAGGACAGGCACGGCAAGAGGCCCGUCAGGGAGGCACAGAAUGACAACAAGGGGAGUGACAGUGACAGCGAGGGCGAGAACCCUGAGAAGAAGAAGCUGCAGGAGCAGCUGAUGGGUGCCAUCAUGAUGGAGAAGCCCAACGUGCGGUGGAGCGAUGUGGCCGGGCUGGAGGGAGCCAAGGAAGCCCUGAAAGAGGCUGUGAUCCUGCCCAUCAAGUUCCCACACCUGUUCACAGGGAAGCGCACGCCCUGGCGCGGGAUCCUGCUCUUUGGGCCGCCUGGCACCGGCAAGUCCUACCUGGCCAAGGCUGUGGCCACUGAGGCAAACAACUCCACCUUCUUCUCUGUGUCAUCCUCUGACCUGAUGUCGAAGUGGCUGGGGGAGAGUGAGAAGCUGGUGAAGAAUCUCUUUGAGCUGGCAAGGCAGCACAAGCCCUCCAUCAUCUUCAUCGAUGAGGUGGACUCACUAUGUGGCUCCCGCAAUGAGAAUGAAAGUGAGGCAGCCCGGCGCAUCAAGACUGAGUUCCUGGUGCAGAUGCAAGGUGUGGGAAACAGCAGCGAUGGGAUCCUGGUGCUGGGUGCCACCAACAUCCCCUGGGUGCUGGACUCAGGCAUCAGGAGAAGGUUUGAGAAGAGGAUCUACAUCGCCUUGCCCGACGAGGCGGCGCGGGCCCAGAUGUUCCGGCUGCAUCUGGGGAACACCCCGCACUCCCUGACAGAUGCCAACAUCCAGGAGCUCGCCCGCAAGACCGAGCGCUACUCGGGGGCUGACAUCAGCAUCAUCGUGAGGGAUGCCCUGAUGCAGCCCGUGCGCAAGGUGCAGUCGGCCACGCACUUCAAGAAGGUGCGUGGCCCCUCCCGCACCACCCCCAGUGCCCUCGUGGAUGAUCUCCUGACACCAUGCUCGCCCGGUGACCCUGGGGCCAUAGAGAUGACCUGGAUGGAGGUGCCCAGUGACAAGCUGAUGGAGCCCAUUGUCUGCAUGUCAGACAUGCUGCGCUCGCUGGCCACCACCCGCCCCACCGUCAAUGACGAGGAUCUCCUCAAAGUGAAGAAAUUCACAGAGGACUUUGGACAGGAAGGUUGAGGGGGGCAUGGGGGGUGUGGGGUUCUGGGGCAGCUGCAGGCCCCACCGUGCCCCCCUCCCCAGCCGUGCCAAACCAACUCAUGAUCGCUCACUCCUGCCCCACUGCACUGCAGCACCCGGCAGCUCCAGCCUGGUGCCCCCUCUGCUGUGCCCAACUGCUGCCCACACUGUGAUCACGAGCCCCAGAGGAGAGGAUCCCCCUUUGCCCCUACCCUGCACAGCCUUGGCAGCAGGUCGUCCCGAGACCCACAGAGGAAUUCCCUGUGCCCAGGGGAGUAUGGGCUGACUCCAGCUGCCUCCCCAUGAAGACCCGUGGGCAAGAAGGGCCAGAGCCAUGCUGAGGCCACAGGUCUGUAUUGGCUGCAAUAAAGC